AUUGAACGCUGGCGGCAGGCCUAACACAUGCAAGUCGAACGAGUGGCGGACGGGGGAGUAAUGUCUGGGAAACUGCCUGAUGGAGGGGGAUAACUACUGGAAACGGUAGCUAAUACCGCAUACCAUCGGAUGUGCCCAGAUGGGAUUAGCUAGUAGGUGGGGUAAAGGCUCACCUAGGCGACGAUCCCUAGCUGGUCUGAGAGGAAGACCAGGCAACCUGGGACUGAGACAGGGCCCAGACUCCUAAGGGAGGCAGCAGUGGGGAAUAUUGCGCAAUGGGCGCAAGCCUGAUGCAGCCCUGCCGCGGGUAUGAAGAAGGCCUGAGGGUUGUAAAGUACUUUCGGCGGGGGGGCGUUACCAGCAGAAGAAGCACCGGCUAACUCCGUGCCAGCAGCCGCGGUAAUUC
rnacentral:rRNA from 1 species